GAAAAAUGGAGUCUGGCCCCCAAAUGCUUUGUGAGCCGGCUUUAAAACAGGGCUGAGAAAGCACUGAGAUAAGAAAAUGGUGGUUUAAAAAUAACCACGCCGCCUCCUGCGUCCUCAGGGCUGACACUCGGAGCACAAAUCCCCUCCGUGACCUCAGGAGGAAUUGAGGUUCCACCAUCCAACGGCGCUUCCCAGCUGUGUUCUGCCCCGUCAUGCUGCGAGCUGAUGGGCACUGAGCGCCCCCAGCACUGCCCACACCCCUCCGUUCGCUGCUGCAAAAUCCUCUUUCCCUUUUUGCCUUUGCUGUGAUGGAAGGGGUGGGAAGUCGGGGUUCUUGACGCAGGUGCUUUCCUUAGGGCAUGGGGUUGUCCCAUGGGUGCUGUCUGUGCAUGGAAGGGUGCAGAAGCACUCGGCAUCGCUCUGUGCGCGGUGCUUCCAAUGGGCCCUCGUUCAUUUCUCAGGACAUCCUCAUCCAGGAUGGGGAAAACUGGGGAUGUGCAACAGAAUGCAGCCGGGCUUUCUGACAGCAGUGCAGAUGUGGCCAUUGGUGCAACUGGGGGAGGGUGCUCGGCUGCCCAAUCUCACCCCAGCCACAUUUCCCUGCACAGUGCACCUUGCGGACAUUUCCUUGAUGCUGCUGGAGAUGAUGAGGGGUAAAUGCAUCGACAGAGCUGGAAAGUCCAAGUGAGGACCAAGGCCUCGCAUCCCCCUGUGGCGGCCAUCCAAAAUCACUCAGCCUUUUUCUCUCCCCUGAUCUCCAACUGAUCUGCAAACUGUGGUUUCUCUUAUCACCUCAAUGUAAAAAUUCUUCUUCUUUUUCCUUCCCUUUAUCAUUUUUCCUUUUUUACCCUUCUCCUCCCCAGCCAUGUAAUUCCCCAAGCUGCCAGGCUGCACUCCUAUAGACAUGGAUAGACGUGUUCCCUUUGCCAGUGGGGUUCUGGCACAAAGCAGCUGUAAGCAUUUUUGGAAGCUGACUUCCAAUGGGGUGGGAUGGAGGCUGUGUGUGUUGGCGUUUCCAUGCCCCCAAAGCACCGCUUUGUGCCUCGGGGCGACCAAAAUGAUCUCCUUGGGGCCAAAGAGGUGAUGAGAAACAGAGCAAAAGGGGGUGAAACAAAUGGGGAUGGCUUCUAAGGGGUCAGAUGGGAUAGAGAAGGAGGAGGAAGGAAAAACAAAGGGAAUAAACAGGAGUUCCUUUAGGAAUAAUAAUAAUAAUGGUGAAAAUGGUUAAUAAUGGUUAAUAGCACUUUUUUUCACGUGACUCAAUGGGGGGAGGUUCGAUAAAGUCGAGUGAUUUCCACCCUGUGCUAAAAGCAUGAACUCUCCUUUCAGCCACCUCCGCUCCUCCUUUGCUGCGGCGCUGGGGAUGCCGUUGACUCCACCAGUGCAGACAGUGGCUUCCCCUGCUGUGAUGCCCCACUCGUUUCCUGGGCAGCCAAGAGCAAUGCUUGAGUCCUGGUGGAAGUUCAUUCAGAAUUGCCUGGAGCGGAGGCUGGAGAGGAAAACCACAACCACAGCAGAGCCUGGACACGGGGAGCUGCUAGCAGGACCCAUCUCAGGGACAGUCACUGUGUGUACCUUCCUCCAUCCUCCUCCUGCUCCCAGCAGCUGAUGGCCUGGAGCAGCACAGAGCAGGCCUGGCAUCGGGCUAUAGGGACACCAGGAGCACCCCGGGGAUAGGACCCAACACCAUGCCACACUGGUGAGACUGGG
rnacentral:lncRNA from 1 species